GGACACCUGCGCAGUCAACACAAGCACAUGCGAUGUACUCUAGUCAGACACCUACAAAGUAGUAUCUAUAUAGGUACAUGCAAUUCUAGUCAUAUGUGUUUGUGAAAAUAAUCUCGAGGGAGAAUAUUCGCUUCUAGAUCCUUCAACCUUCGAUCUUCCUUCUCUCUCUUCCUCGAUUCCUGUAAAAAAGAUUGGAGUAAAACAAUAGCUAAGCAAAGGGUACGGAGUUUAUGUAUGGUAUGAACCUUUCCCCAAUUUGUACCAUCAAUGUUGUUGGAUUUGGCAUC
rnacentral:lncRNA from 1 species